GGACUGCUGAGGAGUCCCAUACCAGGACGAAACGGCCGUCCAAUGC
rnacentral:hammerhead_ribozyme from 1 species